CCACCUACCAGCACAACCUCCCUGGCACACGGGGGAGGGAUCCCAGCCCCAGCCCCCGAGGCGCCAGGCUGUGCUGGCGGGACUGCCUCCUUCCUCGCGGGGCAGUGCCUGCUCACAUCCACUCCCAUCCCCUCCACUCCUUCCGCAGCUGGUGACGCAACAGUCACCUAGCAGCUUCCGGGCCGGCCUGCUCCGGGUCAGGCUCGGUGACAGGGUGCCCUCCAGGAAGGAUGACUGUGGACGGCCCACGGUGGAGGGAGAGCCAGGGCCCCGGGCGCACUGGGAGGGGUGGUUGUGUCGCCCGGGGCUGGCCUGGAACGCAGCUCCGUGCCUCCUCCAGCCUCUGGGACGCCAGCCGUCCAGGCUCCUCCUGUCUACCUCCCAGGCGAGGCCUGCUCUUGGCCGCACUCUUGGGGACUGUCAGGCCAGCUCUCCGACAGGGGAGCAUCUACGCUGGAACUGCCCGCCGCUAUUCCCUUCUACACUACCAGUGGGGGAACCACUCUCUCCAGGGCCAGGCUGAGCCGGGAGCAGCCAUGUGGUGGCCUCCUCCCAGCGGUGGGGACGGAGACCCUGACCCCGCCGUCGCAGGCUGAGCCUUUGACCUGUGUGGGAAACACCGGCUUCCAGCCCAAAGGGACUGGGCCACCCUCCUAGAGACGCGGCUGGCAGCAGGUUCGCGCUGCCCUGUCAGCCCGCCCACCCAGCAACAGACAAAGCAUUGAAUGAAAACACCAGCAACUUGGGGUCUUUGGAGUGUCUGGCCCGGUCCCCGCCUUCCUAGCCUGAUGUCCACGCGUCCCACACCUGACAAUGCCCUGCUGCUAAUUCCAGUGAAACGACCAGCAGAGGCCCGGCUGUCCUCCCGCAGGGGACCAUCUCCGCGCUGCCUUCUGAUUCGCCCAAGCAGGGCGGCCCCAGGAGGCGGGGACAGGGAAGUGGAAGCUGCCCGCUCCCGAGGAAAGCGGCUCCUGCUUGGAGCCCCCCCCCCCGGGCGCCUCACCGCCGGCCAGCCCAGUGCCAGGGCCCCGGAGCCUGCCCUGGAGGCCCAGCCCCGACCCUGCAGAGUGGGAGCGCGAGCCGUGGCUCUGCCAGUGUUGGACGAGGCCAAGCCACCGUCCCGUCCAUUCUGGUUCCAUAAGGACUGCAGCGUCCUGUCCAAAGAGAGCAUGGGGCUGGUGGGGGGGGCGGCGGGGCUGCAGGCCCUAAGCCUAACCCCCAGCCCAUGGUGCAGCUGGCUCAGCCUCUCCCUUCCUGGGAGCAGCCCCUCCCCACCAGGACACACGGGACAGCGACAGCAGGGCCCCACGGGAAUCCCCAGGCCACCGCCCCACCAGAGUGGCCUCACUGGUUGAACUGAGAGCUGCCACCUGCCAGGUUGAGCAACAGCUCCGGGAAGGGGCUGCGGCUGGGUGGGCAGGGGCCUGACCAGCACUGCUGGCUCCCUGUAGGGUCCUGAGCCCCUCAGCCCCAGGGUUUUUCUCUGCCUCCUGGGCCCAUGGUGGUCAGUAGGCUAAACCCCGGGAAUCCUGGCACCACCAGGCGCUGCUGAGUGGCCGGGCCUCCCCGCAGGCCUCCAGGAGGCCCGAGGUCACCCUCCAGGCACGACCCUCCAGGCGUGGGCAGGCCCCCAGCCCCCUGGGGGAGCCGUGUUCUGGGGGAUCCUGCCCCGGACUGGAGGGUCUUGGGGGGGAAGUCCUGGUACAGGAGUGGCAGGAGCUGCAGCUCUGCGCACCCAGCAGGCAGAGGGCUGGUGCCGGGCCCUCCGUGACCCAGUGUUUCCUGUUUCAUGACAUGAAGCUAAGGAAGGAGUCUUUCUCAUGGUGUGUUUAUGAAUUAAAUAAUAACAAUGCUAUGUUCUCUGACCACGUCAGAAUCAAACUAGAAAUCGGUAACAGGAGGACAUCUGGAAAAUCACUAAGUGUCUGGGAAUUAACCAUCAUGUUAAAUAACCCACAGCCCAGAGGAGAUCACAAGGAAACCUGGGACUGGUGAGCCCAGUACCAGAGGCACAAAGUGAAACACACACACCCACGUGGCGAGUCAGCCUGUGGCUGUGUGACGUGGCGUGUGGUGUCUGGGUGCGGGCAAAGGGGAGACAGGUGACCCCAAGUGACUGCUGUCUGGGGGGGCAGGACACACUUGUCCCAUUUCUCUGUUGGAAAAUUUCCCUAAUAAGGUGAAAGAAAGGGGAGCAGCGUGCAAGAACAGAGCUCCAGGAAAGCCAGUGUCUCGGAGGUGUAACCGAACCCCACACCCGAGCUCCUUUAGGCCGGAGGGACAGAGAGGCCGCGGGGAUUCCGCCUCCUGCCGAAGAAACGCCUGCACAGAAUAAAAAGGGCACUGGCCCGGGGCUGCUGUGGGGGCUGUGGGUACUCAGGCUGCCGCUGGUUCUGGGGACCCGCCUGGGUCGGCCUGUGUGGUCUGGAUGGCAGAAGUGGGCCCGCCCCAUGCCUGCGGCGGCACCCGGGUGGGCGCUGGGCUGCCCUUCCGCUUGGAGCAGCCCCCAGCCUGAAGGCCAGAGCCACAAGUGUUUCUCGUGAGAUGGGUAACGCUCUGUUUCUCCCCCUCCACAGGCCCCUAGAGGCCAAGCGUGCAGGGGCUCCGUGGACCCCAGGGCCCAGCUGGCGCACUCCCCACACAUCCAGGGGUGGCCCAGUCCCUCUGCACACCGCCCAGUACCUCAGGACGAGACCACCAAAAGCGCGUGGCUUGCUUUUAAUUAAAAAACAGGACAUUUCUUCAUUC